CCCUCAAACCCUCUUUGUCUCAAAUUCUCUCUAGCCCCUCCAAAAACAUAACCCUCUCCACCGUCUUCCACCAUGUUUCAUCGGAAUCCAUGGCAUCCUCGAGCCUUGGGUGGUCUGUACUAACCUCCACAUGGUCUUGUACGCCUGAUACUGGAGGAUUCAAGGACUGACCUUGAAGGUUUUUGCUCAGUUCGUCGCCAAUUCAAGUUUCUCGGCCAUCUCCGGCAUGUCCUGGUCCUAUGAGCCUAUCUCUAGCUCGCCUGGCUUAGAGCAGACCCUUUUCCAUGCCUUUCUCGCUUCUAGGAUUCUUCUGAAACCCUAUCCUUUCGAGUUUUUCCUAUAUUUCUUUAGAUCUGCUCUAGAUCUAUGCUAGUUUCAAGGUUUUCAAAAUGAUUUUCUUAAAUCUCUUUCAAAAGUUUGCUUUCAAAACUAUUCGUCUUCUCCGAUUUAGGGUUUCUUUGAUUUUGCUUAUUCUACUGCGAUUUGGUGAGGUGUUCUUAUUGUAUUUGUCCUACCGUGACUCUUGUUUGUUCCUACUUUGACUCCUGUGUGUUUCUUCUAUCAUGUUUCCUUCUACUUUUCUUUGUUGUAUUUUUCGACAACAUGUUUUCACGAAACAAUUAAGUUCCUUUAUGUUUUUCUUAGUUUUUCUCUUGUCUGAUUUGUCCGUCUUCAUCCCUACACUGGACUAAUGACGAAAACCCUAGAAUUUGGGGGUUUUUCAGACUGCAUGUAUGUGACUUGCAUGUUCUCA
rnacentral:lncRNA from 1 species